UCAGAAGAUUAGAUUUGUGUUCAAGACAGUUCAUCUAAAACCGAACCCUCACGUUGCUCCAAACCUGCAUGUCUGCAAAACAGAUCCAUUUCUAGCGAUGCUCUGCAAGACUGUGACAGUCACUGUCCACUUGAAUUGAAGACACAAUAAGAAAAGGAGCAACACGAGGUGGGACAGAAAAAUCUGUUGAGACUUUAGUAUGUUGGGACACUCAGAGGACAACUUAAAUGAUCAGAAGAUCUUCACAACAAUCUUCAACAUCAGGGUCACAGUUACUUCACCACAAGGACUUCAGGGUCAGUGCGUUUACUUUAUCCUCUUUCUAAAAUUUUAUGUAGACCUUUCAUUUAAAAAUACAACAGGAACAAUUACAAGCAAUAAUCCUCAAUGUUGGAUCCUUAACUUAAAACCUAAAUGCUAAAAAAAUAAAAAUAGAAAUGAGACUUUAAGAUAGAUUCACAUUUUAAUAUGUUGGAGAAAAUUGUGUUUGUCCUCUUGCAGAACAUUUCAAAUGUUAGUAUGUUCAGUAUGAAACUAACCAUCUACUGAUGUUCAGUGAGUUUACUUAUGUAUGUCUAAACAUGGUUUAAUAAUAUUGUCAGAACAUGUCAUUCAUAUAGAAUAAAAUCUUAACCCACCCUGUAUAUGAUGAAUCAUGUUUUUUAAAGUUCUAAUUUAAAGUUUUUAUGAACUGCUAAAACACUAAAGCCCUUUAUCUGAACUAAAUUACCAGUGGCUUAAACCCAUUUGUUAAAUAAUGCACUUCUUUUGCAAAGCUCUACACAUGUAACUACAACACAGUUAUUAUCGAGUACACACAAUAACUUUUUCUAAUGAUGUUUUUACCAGUUGUAUCCAAUCCACUUUAUUUCUAUAGCACAUUUUACCAACAACAAACAGUUGUAUACAAUAUAAACCAGGUCAGAGUGUUCAGGUGGGUUGUAUGUUCAUACCAACAAUGAAUGAAAACAAUCUGAGAGGCAGAGGAGGAAAAGUAUGGGGGAACAGUAGGAAGGGCAUGAGGAAGAGGUGGCGGAAAAGUGGGAAGGGCAUGAGCAGGAGCCUAGAUGAAAUGCUACUUGCCUGUGUUGUGAUAGAUGUGGUGUUGUCAUGAGGGUUUAUCCUCUGUUUACUGGUAAUAGGCAUAGUGGCCUGUGAUGUGGAUGAGAGACAGAACAAAUCUCUAAUUGACUUUGAUG